GUAAAGUUAGUUUAAUAUUAAAAUAAUAAAUUGUGGGUUUAUUGAUAAAUAAUUGUUUACUUUACU
rnacentral:tRNA from 1 species